rnacentral:rRNA from 1 species
UACGGGAGGCAGCAGUGGGGAAUAUUGCACAAUGGGCGCAAGCCUGAUGCAGCCAUGCCGCGUGUGUGAAGAAGGCCUUCGGGUUGUAAAGCACUUUCAGUUGUGAGGAAGGUGGUGUAGUUAAUAGCGGCAUCAUUUGACGUUAGCAACAGAAGAAGCACCGGCUAACUCCGUGCCAGCAGCCGCGGUAAUACGGAGGGUGCGAGCGUUAAUCGGAAUUACUGGGCGUAAAGCGCAUGCAGGUGGUUUGUUAAGUCACAUGUGAAAGCCCGGGGCUCAACCUCGGAACUGCAUUUGAAACUGGCAGACUAGAGUACUGUAGAGGGGGGUAGAAUUUCAGGUGUAGCGGUGAAAUGCGUAGAGAUCUGAAGGAAUACCGGUGGCGAAGGCGGCCCCCUGGACAGAUACUGACACUCAGAUGCGAAAGCGUGGGGAGCAAACAGGAUUAGAUACCCUGGUAGUCCACGCUGUAAACGAUGUCUACUUGGAGGUUGUGGCCUUGAGCCGUGGCUUUCGGAGCUAACGCGUUAAGUAGACCGCCUGGGGAGUACGGUCGCAAGAUUAAAACUCAAAUGAAUUGACGGGGGCCCGCACAAGCGGUGGAGCAUGUGG